rnacentral:rRNA from 1 species
UGGGGAAUAUUGGACAAUGGGCGCAAGCCUGAUCCAGCCAUGCCGCGUGUGUGAUGACGGCCUUAGGGUUGUAAAGCACUUUCGCCGAUGAAGAUAAUGACUGUAGUCGGAGAAGAAGCCCCGGCUAACUUCGUGCCAGCAGCCGCGGUAAUACGAAGGGGGCUAGCGUUGUUCGGAAUUACUGGGCGUAAAGCGUACGUAGGCGGAUUGUUAAGUGAGGGGUGAAAUCCCGAGGCUCAACCUCGGAACUGCCUUUCAUACUGGCAAUCUUGAGUCCGGAAGAGGUGAGUGGAACUCCUAGUGUAGAGGUGGAAUUCGUAGAUAUUAGGAAGAACACCAGUGGCGAAGGCGGCUCACUGGUCCGGUACUGACGCUGAGGUGCGAAAGCGUGGGGAGCAAACAGGAUUAGAUACC